GGAAUCUUGGACAAUGGGGGAAACCCUGAUCCAGCCAUGCCGCGUGAGCGAUGAAGGCCUUCGGGUUGUAAAGCUCUUUCAGAUGUGAAGAUGAUGACGGUAGCAUCAGAAGAAGCUCCGGCUAACUCCGUGCAAGCAGCCGCGGUAAUACGGAGGGAGCGAGCGUUGUUCGGAAUUACUGGGCGUAAAGCGUAUGUAGGCGGUUUUGUAAGACAGGCGUGAAAUCCCAGGGCUUAACCUUGGAACUGCGUUUGUGACUGCAAGACUUGAGUGUCGGAGAGGUUGGCGGAAUUCCUAGUGUAGAGGUGAAAUUCGCAGAUAUUAGGAGGAACACCGAUGGCGUAAGCAGCCAACUGGACGACUACUGACGCUGAGAUACGAAAGCGUGGGGAGCAAA
rnacentral:rRNA from 1 species